rnacentral:rRNA from 1 species
GACCUGCGGAGGAUCAUUAUUG